AAGUCGUAACAAGGUUUCCGUAGGUGAACCUGCGAGGGAAAGGAUCCAUUUAAAAAGGUAAAUUUGGGUUAUACAUAUCCUGUAUCAACUGCACAAACCCAUUCCGAGUACCUUGCCUGUUGCUUCCAUGGGGGCCUGACUUUGGUCACUCUUGUGAUGCGAAUCCCAAGAGAGUCCCCAUGGGGGGUAAUCAUUAAAUUCAUGAAUCCAAUGUCUUCUGUCUGAAAUGUUAAAACAAAUGUUAAA
rnacentral:misc_RNA from 1 species